AUUAAGUAUACAUCAAUUGCAAGACGGCCGAUAUAAAUAGACCGCUGCGAAUUUUUUAGACUACACAUCUAGUUCUGGAGUAGAGAAUUUAGUUUUUCACCAGUGAAUUUAGUUCUGCCUUCAAAAUCAGAAAACCAUUCACAAUGAAUUUCCGUGCUUCUCAACUAUUGUGCAUUUUUAUGGUAAUAUGCGGUGUUUGCAGCACCCUUGCUUCACUAAUUGACCUCGAUUCAGAGACGAUUUCUGCAAUCCUGGCGCGUCGGUCUGAGCCUGCAGAAUGUAUUGGAGAUUGGAGUCUCAAUUUUUAGUGCGCACUGGGACACGAUGUAACAGAAGAGGCAAGAAUGCAAUAAUGACUACGAAAAAUGCGCAGGCUGAACAGGCUGAAAAGAGUGAGAAGUUAAACAUUAGAAUGCUACAUAAAGUCGAGAAGGGGAGGACUUUCCGAACACGAUACCAUAAUGUAGUUGUCCGAGUGGAUCCACCCCUUCGGCACUUUUCGACGGGAAAAAUACAUUUUAACGCCUCAGAGAAAACAAAAGAAGAGCGAUGAAAUAAGUGUGCAGGCAACGAAAACAAAGGAUCACGCGGUGCAAUAGAUGAUGACUUUAUUACCGCGUUUUUGAGCUCAACCGUCGUAUUUAGGAAGAACGUCCUAUGAAAAUUUAGAUGUUGCAAAAUUUCUCCUGAUGAAAUAUUUAUUUUUGAAAAAAGUUAUUAUUUUUUUCUCUUGAACUUUGCAGGUGCGGUAGGUCAAAUCACGGAUACAAUUCUCUGAAAAAUUCGA
rnacentral:lncRNA from 1 species